AUGGCACCACAGCCCCAACUCCUCGUCUUCCUGUUGCUCUGGGUAUCAGGUGCCUGUGGGGACAUUGUGAUGACCCAAUCUCCGGACAACCUGGCUGUGUCUGUAGGAGAGAGGGUCACCAUCAGCUGCAAAUCUAGCCAGAGUCUUUUAUCCAGUUCCAACAAUAAAAACUACUUAGCCUGGUACCAGCAGAAACCAGGACAGGCUCCAAAGCUGCUCAUCUACUGGGCAUCCACCCGGGCAUCUGGAGUCCCUGAUCGAUUCAGUGGCAGUGGGUCUGGGACAGAUUUCACUCUCACCAUCAGCAGCCUCCAGGCUGAAGAUGCGGCAGUUUAUUACUGUCAGCAGUAUUAUAGCAGUCCUCCCACAGUGCUUCAGCCUCGAACACAAACCUCCUCUGUCGGUCUGUCCGUCAGUGAGUGUCUGAAGCACCCGGUGCUUCCUCGCCACACAGCCCUGGACUUGAACACUUCCUCUUUCUGCCUGAGAGUCUGUGUAUUCUGCUUAUUUAUGAGGAAGUUAGCAGGGCUAGAGAAAAGAGUUAAGGCGCUCAAUAUGUCUUUCAAUCCCCUUGUUUAA